AUUGAACGCUGGCGGCAGGCCUAACACAUGCAAGUCGAACGAGUGGCGGACGGGUGAGUAAGGUCUGGGAAACUGCCUGAUGGAGGGGGAUAACUACUGGAAACGGUAGCUAAUACCGCAUACCAUCGGAUGUGCCCAGAUGGGAUUCGCUAGUAGGUGGGGUAAAGGCUCACCUAGGCGACGAUCCCUAGCUGGUCUGAGAGGAUGACCCGCCACACUGGAACUGAGACACUGUCCAGACUCCUACGUUGGGCAGCAGAGGGGAAUAUUGCACAAUGGGCGCAAGCCUGAUUCAGCCAUGCCGCGGGUAUGAAGAAGGCCUUCGGGUUGUAAAGUACUUUCAGCGGGGAGGCGUUACCCGCAGAAGAAGCACCGGCUAACUCCGUGCCAGCAGCCGCGGUAAUAC
rnacentral:rRNA from 1 species